ACGUAGGCAGCGAGCGUUGUUCGGAGUUACUGGGCGUAAAGCGUGCGUAGGCGGUGGCCCAAGUCUGGUGUGAAAUCUCCCGGCUCAACCGGGAGGGUGCGCCGGAGACUGGGUCGCUCGAGUACUGGAGAGGCAAGCGGAACUCCUGGUGUAGCGGUGAAAUGCGUAGAUAUCCGGAGGAACACCAGUGGCGAAAGCGGCCACCUGGACUGUACCUGACGCUCAAACGCGAAAGCUAGGGGAGCGAACGGGA
rnacentral:rRNA from 1 species